GUAGGUGGCAAGCGUUGUCCGGAAUUAUUGGGCGUAAAAGCGCGCGCAGGCGGGGUCCUUUAAAGUCUGAUGUGAAAAGCCCACGGGCUCAACCGUGGAGGGUCAUUGGAAACUGGGGGACUUGAGUACAGAAGAGGAAAGCGGAAUUCCAAGUGUAGCGGUGAAAUGCGUAGAGAUUUGGAGGAACACCAGUGGCGAAGGCGGCUUUCUGGUCUGUAACUGACGCUGAGGCGCGAAAGCGUGGGGAGCAAACAGGAUUAGAUACCCUGGUAGUCCACGCCGUAAACGAUGAGUGCUAAGUGUUAGGGGUUUCCGCCCCUUAGUGCUGCAGCUAACGCAUUAAGCACUCCGCCUGGGGAGUACGGCCGCAAAGGCUG
rnacentral:rRNA from 1 species